rnacentral:tRNA from 1 species
CUGCCCUUAGUAGCUUAAAACAAAAGCAUUG